CAGGGCGCGUUUUGUUUUUGGUUUCCCUCCUCACUGCUUUUCACGAGUUUGAUUAGGGCCUCUGCGUUCCUUUUUCUCUUUAGCCCUCCCUCUGCGUUCUUCUUUAGCCCUCCUCCUCCUUCUUGUCGGUUGUCAUCUUCCAUCAUCGUUCCUUGAAGCAACAUAUUGCGGCUCUAGAUUGGAGAUAUAGAAAGUGGCGAAAUCCAGUUCUGAAUUGGCAAGAAGAACCACGUUAGUUUAGAACACAAAAUUUGGGUGAGUAGUCAACAAGGUCGAAAGCGUAGGUGGACUAGCGCACAAAGCCAUAUGAAUGAUUUUAUUGAUUGGUUUCAAGAAAGGGUUUUAAGGGAACAAGUUCAGGGCGAACUUUUCUGGGUGGCCAAGGGUCCUAACCCUAAGGCUAGGAGGUAUUCUGGGUAUUUUAUCAAUGGUUAUAGGUUCAACACAAGGGAUCGUGAUUCACGAUUAAAUACUCAAAAUAGUGGAGUCACUUUAACAGCCCUAACUUCUAGUUUUGCAAGCUCAAGGGAUCAAAAUCCUAUUGAUGGAGAUGUUACCUACUAUGGAGUAAUAGAAGAGAUUUUUUUAGACUUUUGGUCUCAAUUCAAUGUUGUUUUAUUUAGGUGUGAUUGGUUUCUUGGCAAUAUUGAUGCGUGUGGGCUUAUUUUUGUUAAUUUUAAGAAGAAAUGUUCCAAAGAUGAUCCUUUUGUAUUGGCAUCUCAAGUUCAUCAAGUUAUCUAUUCCCAAGAUCCUGAAGAAUACGAUAUUCAAUAUGUGAGUCACAGUGUUCCUACAGACCUUUUUGAUUUUGGAGAGUCAAUGGAUGGAGAUACAUAUUGGGAGGAGCCUAUUAAUUUCAGUUGUAAUAAUGCUCCUACUAUUGAUACAACUGAUAUUCAUGCAAGUGCUGGCGGUGAUGUGCGAUCUGUAGAAAUUAAUGAGUUAUUAGAUACUGAUGAUGAAAAUGACCUUGCCGAAGAUGAUGAUUUUGAUGAUACAUAUUGGGAUUGGAUGGAAGCUACCGAUGAUAUCCUGGCUUCUGAGUCACAGGGGUUUACUAAGGAUACUUAAAGGAUUGUAGUUUCUUAAAUAUACUAUUUUUAUAAUUUUGCCUUUUCUUUUUACCAUCAAACAUUCUUAUAUGCUAUUAUUUUGUUUUAUGUCAUUGAUUAAUUAUAAGCUAGUAAUGAUGUUCCAGAAUUAUUUGAUGUUCUUCUGGUUGUUUCUUAAUAGUGUUGGUAAAGUUAUUUUUCUAAUUGCGUGGCUUGUUGUGGAUUCAUAAUUGUGUUUUGUAUGAUGUAACUUUUAAUACCAUUCAUGUUUAAUCUUCUUAUGUUCAGGCAUUGUUCUGCCAUAAAAGCAGAUUCUAAAGCUACUAGAGAUACUUGUCUCAACAAUCCCAAGCAUAACUAAGUGUGUAGUUUGUGCAAGUUUUUGAUGCUUGGAGGAAUUUUAUUUAAAGAGAUCAUUUUUUUCACAAUAAUUUAUGUUUCUUUUCAGUUUCGCUAACUAUGGUAUUUCUUUUCUUGCAGUGAUUAAGAGAGAAAAUGACAAAAGGGAAGAAAAAUUCUAAAUUUGCUCCAGCAUCAUUAUCUGAACUAACAACGUAUGAGAAAGCAAGGCAAAAGAAUUUAGAAAAAAAUGCUCAGAGAUUUAGGGAGUUUGGGCUAGAGAAAUAUGCUAUUCAACUAGAGACAAAGAAUAAGGCCCUUAGACAAAAGAAGGAGAACAUCAACCCUCGAAAGAAUGACCAAGAUUACGUGCCCGAAAGUGAAAGUGAUGACGAUGAGUUUGGUAUUUCUCAAGAUGCAAAUUUAGUAACACAAGCUGCAACGUCAAAGAAGAAAGAAAGGACUAGAGAACAACCUCCUCGUAAGAAUAAGAAGAAGCCACUAUGUCCGGCAAUGAAAAUGGAUGAUUUCGUUAUGAUGCAGCAAAAUAUGAAUCCAAGUGAAGCAGAACAACUACAACAAGAAGUACACCAAUUGGAAAGAGACCAUGUAGGAUCUAAGCGUCCAAUUUCUGCCAUUGUUCUAUCGGAUAACCAAGGAGAAAGUAGUUCUGCACGACAACAUGGUGCUAAAAAGAAAGGUCGUGGACCGACUACUAUGUUUGAUGUCCAUGCUCGCAAAUUGGAAGCCCGUGUUCCUAUCUAUUGUAAUGACAAAGGACAACCUAUUGGUCCAGAAAAAAGAUAGGAAAGAGCUUACUCGGUUCUUAGGAACUAUUGCUCAUGACUACAAUUGGGCCCCUUUUACUUACACAAAUUGCAAAAAAAGUUCCAAACAAGGACAAAAUAUGGGAAGCAAGUACAUCCUUCCACCUGAAUCUGGAGAGUGGGUAUAUGAAACCCUUGAUCAAUCUUGGAGAGGAUUCAAAUGUAGGCUUAAAAAGAUACAUUAUUAUGCAUAUGACAGCUAUGAGGAGAGAUUGGAACAUCCGCCGGAGAGAGUGCCUGAAGCACAUUUCAAAAUACUUCUAGCUUAUUGGGAGACUAAUGCAGCAAAGAAAACAAGUUUGCAGAAUUCGGAAAAUCGCAAAGAGCAAGACAAUAUGCAUACAGUUGGUCCGGUGUCAUUUGUCAUGCGUUAUGACAAGAUGUUGCGUGAAAAUGGUAAGGCACCAUCAAAAAGAGAGAUGUUUGAAGAGACUCGUCGUCGAAAAGAAGGAAAAUUUUAUGAUCGACCUUAUGAUGAUACGCAAAAGAAGAUACAAGCCAUGCGGGAACUGAAGGCAUUACAAGAUGAUCAGAAUAGUGAAUCUCAUAAGGAUUCAUUUGAUGAAGUGAUGGGAAAUGCACCAGGUUCAAAAAGACUACAUGGACUAGGUGUGUCCCGUAAGAUGCAAAAAGAUAUAGAAUCAAGUACAUCUUUAACAUUGCCAGACGAGGUCAUGGACUCUAUCAAAAAAGCUGUAACUGAAGACGUGCAAAAGGACAUUAUAACUCAAAGAGAGGAAUUUGCAAAGGAAAGAGAAGCUCAUGCUGCUGAAAUGGAAAGAAUGUCAAAGGAAUUUGAGUCCCAAGCCUCAAAAUUACAAAAUAUGAUCAAGGAACCAGAAGAACCUGAAACUCUUGAUUCAAUCGCUGCUUCACUUGGUCGACUACGGAAAAAGGACCCUACCUUGACUGCAGAAAAGAUUGCAGCAGUUUUGGUGUCUACCCUUUCAAGUGAUGCAUAAAUAAUUUCUACAGACCACUCUCUUUAUUGGUCAUGGUUACAUAUAGAGCCUUUACAAAUUGGCCACAAACCAAAACAGCCAAAACAGCCACCAAAACUCCUACUUACAACUUAACUCAAUCAACAGAUUACUAAGAUCAGCAGGAGUGGGCCUGCUAAAAUGUAAGAGUUGCCGAACCUUCUGCCACAAGUGAUAAGAUAUAGAGCAUUCAAAGAACAUUCCACAGUUUCACCAGCUAAUCCACACAAAAGGCAAGAGCCAGCAGCUUGUUAUCACCUUUUGUUAAUUGUUCACAAGUUGUUUUCUAUUGUUGUACUGCAUGCCACUUCAUAACAGUCGGACAACGGAUAUGUAACCUUAGCAGAGAGUUCGAGAAAUCAUUGAUUAGUUAUCUGAAACCUCGUUUGCUGUUGGUAUAGUGCUGCUAGUACUUGAGUGCAGAAGUUAGUUCAAAAAAUGUUUCUUCAGAGCAUGGAAUUGUCAGACCACCCAUAAAAUGAUGAAACCCGAACUCUAGUUCGGCACGGUGUAGCAUGCAUCGGAAUGCAGGGUAGCUUAAGUAUGAAAGAGGCAUAACAUGUCUCUUCUUGUUAGCUUGAUCACCUACACAAACUGGAAUAUGUUCAAAGCAGACAAGAAUAAAUGCUUAUAUAUUUGCUCAUCUAUUUUCUAAUAGCUUUUCAGAUUCUGAUCUGCUGCUUGCUGUUCAGUUUUGUAAGGCUCUGAUAUGCUGCUUGUUGUUUCAGUUCUGAAAGGCUCUAAUCUUCUGCUUGCUAUUCAGUUCUAUACGGCUUUGAUUCUGAUCUGCUGCUUGUUCAGUUCAGUUCCAGUUGGCAGAUUUGUUUUGUUCAGGGUGGUAGAUAGGAGAAUGGUAGAUAAAAUGAUGGCAAGAAGGGCAUAUAUUGAACUUUUUUGGACUGAUUUUUGGCAAAUAAAUUAAAUACUAGAUAGCUUUUAGAUUGCUUGAACCAUUAGUUUUACGAGAUUCAUUAGUUUUCUAAUUGAUGUAUUUAUAAAUUAACACUUGUUUUUGUUAUUAGAAUGAUUGUUAUGGAUAUUUUAUUUUAAUAAUAAGUAGAACUUAAUUUCAAAUAAA